rnacentral:rRNA from 1 species
GAGCGUUGAAAAGCUCGGGGAUGACUUGUGGGUAGCGGUGAAAUUCCAAUCGAGCCCGGAGAUAGCUGGUUCUCCCCGAAAUAGCUUUAGGGCUAGCCUCAAGGGGAGAGAUACGGAGGUAGAGCACUGAAUGUCCUAGGGGGUAUUGCACCUACCGAAGACUAUCAAACUCCGAAUGCCGUCAUCUUAUACUUGGGAGUCAG